rnacentral:rRNA from 1 species
CCUACGGGGGGCAGCAGUGGGGAAUAUUGCACAAUGGGCGCAAGCCUGAUGCAGCCAUGCCGCGUGUGUGAAGAAGGCCUUCGGGUUGUAAAGCACUUUCAGCGGGGAGGAAGGCGUUAAGGUUAAUAACCUUGGCGAUUGACGUUACCCGCAGAAGAAGCACCGGCUAACUCCGUGCCAGCAGCCGCGGUAAUACGGAGGGUGCAAGCGUUAAUCGGAAUUACUGGGCGUAAAGCGCACGCAGGCGGUCUGUCAAGUCAGAUGUGAAACCCCCGGGCUCAACCUGGGAACUGCAUUCGAAACUGGCAGGCUAGAGUCUUGUAGAGGGGGGUAGAAUUCCAGGUGUAGCGGUGAAAUGCGUAGAGAUCUGGAGGAAUACCGGUGGCGAAGGCGGCCCCCUGGACAAAGACUGACGCUCAGGUGCGAAAGCGUGGGGAGCAAACAGGAUUAGAUACCCCAGUAGUC